rnacentral:rRNA from 1 species
UGCAAGUCGAGCGCGGGAAGCGAGCGGAUCCCUUCGGGGUGAAGCUCGUGGAACGAGCGGCGGACGGGUGAGUAACACGUGGGCAACCUGCCUGUAAGAUCGGAAUAACCCCGGGAAACCGGGGCUAAUGCCGGGUAAUACUUUUCUUCGCAUGAAGAUAAGUUGAAAGAUGGCUUCUCGCUAUCACUUACAGAUGGGCCCGCGGCGCAUUAGCUAGUUGGUGAGGUAACGGCUCACCAAGGCAACGAUGCGUAGCCGACCUGAGAGGGUGAUCGGCCACACUGGGACUGAGACACGGCCCAGACUCCUACGGGAGGCAGCAGUAGGGAAUCUUCCGCAAUGGACGAAAGUCUGACGGAGCAACGCCGCGUGAACGAUGAAGGUCUUCGGAUCGUAAAGUUCUGUUGUCAGGGAAGAACAAGUACCGUGCGAAUAGAGCGGUACCUUGACGGUACCUGACGAGGAAGCCCCGGCUAACUACGUGCCAGCAGCCGCGGUAAUACGUAGGGGGCAAGCGUUGUCCGGAAUUAUUGGGCGUAAAGCGCGCGCAGGCGGUUCCUUAAGUCUGAUGUGAAAGCCCACGGCUCAACCGUGGAGGGUCAUUGGAAACUGGGGAACUUGAGGACAGAAGAGGAGAGUGGAAUUCCACGUGUAGCGGUGAAAUGCGUAGAUAUGUGGAGGAACACCAGUGGCGAAGGCGACUCUCUGGUCUGUUUCUGACGCUGAGGUGCGAAAGCGUGGGUAGCAAACAGGAUUAGAUACCCUGGUAGUCCACGCCGUAAACGAUGAGUGCUAGGUGUUAGGGGGCUUC